GCCCAGUUGAAGAGUCCCAAAUAGGAUGAAACCGGAGUCCUGGAU
rnacentral:hammerhead_ribozyme from 1 species